GCCGGGCAGGGUGGCUCCUGCCUGUAAUCCUGGCUCCUCGGGAGGCUGAGGCUGGUGGAUUCCUUGAGCUCGGGAGUUCUAGGCUGCAGUGGGCUAUGUUGAGCUGGUGUCCCUGCUCAAGUCAGCAUCAAUAUGGGGGUCCCUGGGGAGCCGGGGGCCACCAGGUUGCCUAAGGAGGGGUGAACCGGCCCAGGUCGGAGACGGAGCAGGUCAAAACCCCCGUGCUGAGCAAUGGGGGGGGACUGCACCCGUGAGUCGCUUCUGUGGCCUAGCUUGAGCAAGAGAGUGGGACCCAGCCUUU
rnacentral:SRP_RNA from 1 species